rnacentral:rRNA from 1 species
UACGUAGGGGGCAAGCGUUGUCCGGAAUUAUUGGGCGUAAAGGGCUCGUAGGCGGUUUGUCGCGUCGGGAGUGAAAUCCACUGGCUUAACUGGUGGCUUGCUUUCGAUACGGGCAGACUGGAGGUAUGCAGGGGAGAACGGAAUUCCUGGUGUAGCGGUGGAAUGCGCAGAUAUCAGGAGGAACACCGAUGGCGAAGGCAGCUCGCUGGGACGGUACUGACGCUGAGGCGCGAAAGCGUGGGGAGCGAACAGG